CCUACGGGAGGCAGCAGUGGGGAAUAUUGGGCAAUGGGCGCAAGCCUGACCCAGCAACGCCGCGUGAAGGAAGAAGGCUUUCGGGUUGUAAACUUCUUUUGUCAGGGAAGAGUAGAAGACGGUACCUGACGAAUAAGCCACGGCUAACUACGUGCCAGCAGCCGCGGUAAUACGUAGGUGGCAAGCGUUGUCCGGAUUUACUGGGUGUAAAGGGCGUGUAGCCGGGUUGACAAGUCAGAUGUGAAAUCCUGCGGCUUAACCGGAGAAAUGCAUUUGAAACUGUUGAUCUUGAGUACUGGAGAGGCAGACGGAAUUCCUAGUGUAGCGGUGAAAUGCGUAGAUAUUAGGAGGAACACCAGUGGCGAAGGCGGUCUGCUGGACAGCAACUGACGGUGAGGCGCGAAAGCGUGGGGAGCAAACAGGAUUAGAUACCCCAGUAGUC
rnacentral:rRNA from 1 species